rnacentral:sRNA from 1 species
UUAAAAAUAUAUAUAUAUGUACCUGUAAUAGUGCAGUGUAUUACAAACUAGAUAGACAUCCUUGUGCACUGAAGCUAGAGUAGCCAUUACAAUCAUAUGAUCAUUAUUCAUGAUUAAAUGAUACAUUACAUGUACAGACUUGUUUAUCAUGUUAAUUAGCUUACUGCCAAAUUGAAAUCUCAAUUUAAUCAAUAUCAGAAGACUGUUUAUAGAAAAAACGUUUGCUUCCGAAAAACUGUAAUUACCAUCUGUUUAAUUAUUAUUGAAAAACAUCAUACACUUUAACGUUUGGAACAUUCAUCAUCAUCUAUAAUAUCUCUUCAUUGUCCCUGUCUCUUUUUUUUUGUUUUGGUAUCUUUUUUUCUAAAACAUAAACCAUUUUCACAUAUAUAAAUAAUGUACCGCCACUUCUUCAAAUUACAUUGUCACUCUUCUAAGAACUAAUAUGUAUAUGUAUUAUGUAUCAUUCAAACAAAUAUUAUAAAUGUAUAUGUAUAUAUUUCAACUGUAUAUAUCUAUGUUUAUGCGCUAUCUAUUUAUUCAAGUGUGUGACUUUGUGAAUUUCAAUAAAAAGAAGAAAAAAAAUAAUAUAUUGUAUAUUAUA